GGGCCCGUAGCUCAGCUAGGUAGAGCACCCGGCUCAUUACCGGGGGGUCGCGGGUUCGAAUCCCGCCGGGCCCACCA
rnacentral:tRNA from 1 species